UCGGACUGGCUGCCCGCGGCUCUGG
rnacentral:piRNA from 1 species